rnacentral:rRNA from 1 species
GAUGAACGCUGGCGGCGUGCCUAAUACAUGCCAGUCGAGCGAACAGAUGAGGAGCUUGCUCCUCUGACGUUAGCGGCGGACGGGUGAGUAACACGUGGAUAACCUACCUAUAAGACUGGGAUAACUACGGGAAACCGGAGCUAAUACCGGAUAAUAUAUUGAACCGCAUGGUUCAAUAGUGAAAGACGGUUUUGCUGUCACUUAUAGAUGGAUCCGCGCCGCAUUAGCUAGUUGGUAAGGUAACGGCUUACCAAGGCAACGAUGCGUAGCCGACCUGAGAGGGUGAUCGGCCACACUGGAACUGAGACACGGUCCAGACUCCUACGGGAGGCAGCAGUAGGGAAUCUUCCGCAAUGGGCGAAAGCCUGACGGAGCAACGCCGCGUGAGUGAUGAAGGUCUUCGGAUCGUAAAACUCUGUUAUCAGGGAAGAACAAAUGUGUAAGUAACUAUGCACGUCUUGACGGUACCUAAUCAGAAAGCCACGGCUAACUACGUG